AGCAGCCGCGGUAAUUCCAGCUCCAAUAGCGUAUAUUAAAGUUGUUGCAGUUAAAAAGCUCGUAGUUGAAUUUCGAGAUCAAUUUGUUGGUCGUGCCUCGGUACGUACUGGCAAUUUUGAUUUCUCCCUUCUGAAGAACCAUGAUGUCAUUAAUUUGGUGUCAUGGGGAAUCAGGACCGUUACUUUGAAAAAUUAGAGUGUUUAAAGCAGGCUCGCGCUUGAAUACAUUAGCAUGGAAUAAUGAAAUAGGACGUUUGAUUCUAUUUUGUUGGUUUCUAGGAUCGACGUAAUGAUUAAUAGGGAUAGUUGGGGGCAUUAGUAUUCAAUUGUCAGAGGUGAAAUUCUUGGAUUUAUUGAAGACUAACUACUGCGAAAGCAUUUGCCAAGGAUGUUUUCAUUAAUCAAGAACGAAAGUUAGGGGAUCGAAGACGAUCAGAUACCGUCGUAGUCUUAACCAUAAACUAUGCCGACUAGGGAUCGGAUGAUGUUAAUUUUUAAUGACUCAUUCGGCGCCUUACGG
rnacentral:rRNA from 1 species